CGGACGGGUGAGUAAUGUCUGGGAAACUGCCUGAUGGAGGGGGGAUAACUACUGGACACGGUAGCUAAUACCGCAUAACGUCGCAAGACCAAAGAGGGGGACCUUCGGGCCUCUUGCCAUCGGAUGUGCCCAGAUGGGAUUAGCUAGUAGGUGGGGUAACGGCUCACCUAGGCGACGAUCCCUAGCUGGUCUGAGAGGAUGACCAGCCACACUGGAACUGAGACACGGUCCAGACUCCUACGGGAGGCAGCAUG
rnacentral:rRNA from 1 species